AACUACAGACGGAGGAGCUCUUUUGUUUUGCGUUGUUAUAUAAAUGCCAAAGCUUUAUAUAAGUGAUACAGAAAGAAUGCUGCAGUGAGAGGAAGUGGUCUCUGCUUACGCUGAAGCUCAGGGCUGUCCACCCGAUCAGUAUAACAGCGCAGGCAGAGAGGACGAGGAGCGCAGACGGGAGAGAACAGACGGCGAAGAUGGUGACGCGGAGCGCUCUGCGCGACAAGACCUCCUUAAAACGAAGAAUAUUAUCGACGAGGAUGGCGUCGACCCGUCCAGAUGAAAGAGCAGGUCGCAACGGUGGGAACAUGGAAUCAGAACAACUGGAUGAAAGAUGAUGGCGUUUCGUUCAGUCUCAUAUCAUGUAAAUGUUUCUGAUCUGCCAAACGUCAAAGAAAGAUGAGGAAAAGAAUUUUCGCUAUGACGUUUGCCUGAAGAGGAAGCUUCACCAAAGUUUCAAGGAACAGAAGACUGCUCUAACCAAUUCUGGACAGUCAAGUGGACACUACUGCUUAAUGAGGAAGAUGGCGGCUCAUGUUUUGUCUUUUGGAUUUGGAAAGAGACAUUUUAUUUGUGAUUUUGCUGUGAUUAUUUUAAUUCUAUUCGCUAAUGUGCAUUCGCUAAUGUGCUUAACAAUUGUAUGUGUCUUUUCAUACUUUACUGCAUUGUUGUUUUGA
rnacentral:lncRNA from 1 species